GUACCACAAGAAAAGAGGAAGGAAAAACUAGAAGCAAACCACUCAAUAAUGGCACAAAUUUAAUGAGUCUGGAGGAAGAGGUAAUGGGUAUGGGAUACUAAGGCAGAGAAGAGAAGAGAACAUUGAGAGAAGCAGGAGAGGAAAGAAAGAACAAAAAAGCUUAUUGUUAUUACAGAUGAUAAAAACCUAAUUGAAGUAUCCAUUUCAGUUUCACUGCAGAAUAGCUUCCUGCACCACACAGCGCUCCAAGGAUGGGAGCUAUUAAGUAGACCCAUAUGGCCUUGUAAUUGUUUGCCGCAAUGGCUGGACCCAGUGUUCUUACCGGAUUCAUUGAACCGCCAGUCGAAGGUCUGCGACGUAACAGAAGAAAAGAGUUUUCAAAAGAUCUUAAGAUCAUAGUAAUAAUUUUCACUCGACUUGUUGAAUAAUUGAAUUUUGAUGUAUACAGAAAUCAGAUGAUUUAUUGAAGGAUUGUCAAUUCAUCUCUAACAUAUAUCCCAUAUCUUGGUCCUUUUGCAUUGGAAGUGUGCUUUUAUAUUCUCAGAUGAUUUUUGCCUAUUAUUUUGUCAAACUUUGUUGUCUGUUCUAGCUUUUGUAAGGAUCAAACAUCCCCAUCAGUUACAGUAUGUUUGCCGCGUGAGUUUGGAUAAACUAUUGCAUUAAUUUUCACCAUUUUCAUUCAUUGGAUCUAAAUAAUGGUCCCGAAAGAAGUCUUUUAGUCAAUGGCGGUGUCAGAAGCCUUU